CGGCUGAGUAAAUGCCUGGGUAAAUCGUGUCGCUUAACGAUACGAAUUCCGGGUAGACUGCUUAGCUUGAGACUGGGAGAAGCUAGAGGUACUCCUGGGGUAGAGGUGAAAUUCUGUAAUCCUGGGGGGACCACCAGUGGCGAAAGCGUCUAGCUAGAACGGGUCUGACGGUGAGGGACGAAACCCUGGGGCGCGAACCGGAUUAGAUACCCGGGUAGUCCAGGGCGCAAACGCUGCUUGCUUGAUGUUAGCUGGGCUCCGAGCUCAGCUAGUGUCGGAGAGAAGUGGUUAAGCAAGCUGCCUGGGAA
rnacentral:rRNA from 1 species